rnacentral:rRNA from 1 species
UAAGUAUAUAAAGAAACUAUUAUGGAAUUUAUGCCAUGUAUCAAAGAGAAAUAUUUAUAUCCAUAGGUAAUAAACUCCUAUAUUUUUAACUCUGGGGCCUAUUUCAUUAGCCCAAGCACAAAGGGACUGAUUGAAACCCUGGGUUAAUAACCUUAUUUCAGGCUGCGCUAUUUAUAAAUAUGCUAAAGCUCUUUAUUUUGAAGUUUAUUUAAGAAUUGUAAACUUACUAUUUACUAUAAAAUAAUUAUGAAAAUUGUCUUGCUGGGCCUCCAGUAACGCACAAAUUUUCAUAUCUUAGAAAUUAAGGGAGCUGCUAUCUCUCAGAUUGUUUGCUUAUUGCUUUAUAAAGUCGCAAAGUAAACUGUGGGCAAAGCAGAAUAUUGGGGGUAACUUCCUAUAAGUUACAUAAGCUCUAAGAGAAAUCUAAUCUCUAAACGAAGUGAAUUGAAAUAUCUUAGUAACUUCAGGAAAAUAAAUCAAAAGAGAUUCUAUGAAUAACGUGAGUGAAAAUAGAGUAGCCUAUAAAGUAGAACGGUACAAAAACUGUUUAAAUAAUGGGGAACCUUCCUCAAAGGCUAAAUAUGAUACAUGAGCGAUAGUGAAAAGUACCAUGAGGGAACUUAAACGAAAAUAGUAGUUUUAUAAGCAGUUCGAUAAAAAGAACGUACCUUUUGCAUAAGGGGUCACCAAGUUAACGUUAGAUGCGAGCAUAUGCGUAGUUAAACCGGACGUUAAAAUAACGAAACAGUGUCUAAGUUAGACCCGAAGCACGGUGAUUUUACCAUAGUCAGGAUUAUAAAAGUCCGAACGGGUGAUUGUAGCAUAAAUCUCCGAAGAACUGUGGUAGGUGUAGUGAAAGACAACACUGACUGUGAUAGCUGGUAGGCCUCAUUCGAAAGAAUGCAAUGGCAAUAAAAUAAUUAUGAAUUGUUCUCAUAAAUUAAGUUUACGAUUAAAAUAAUUUACGUAUUACAAAAAACAAAACAUCAUGAGAAAUAUAUUUAACAAUCAGACAUCUUCAAUAAUACCUAUAAAAAGUUAUAGUAAUGCAAUUUUAAAUAAAAAUUCAAUAUUAUUAGAUAACAAAAAUAAAUCAGGUAUCUAUAAAUGAAUAAAUAACGUCAAUGGUAAUAGUUAUGUAGUGGUUUAAAUUUAGCAAAAAGAGUAGGUGAUUAUUAUAAGGAAAGUGAAUUAAAAAGAAAUCCUAGACCUAUUCAUGCUGCUUUAUUAAAACAUGGCCAUACUAAUUUUACUUUACAAAUAUUAGAGUAUUGUAAGCCAGAAGAACUUAUUAACAGAGAACAGCAUUAUUUGGAUAUAGUUAAACCUGAAUAUAAUAUUUUAAAAAAUGCUUAUUCUUUAUUAGGUUUUAAACAUAGUGAUGAAAAUAUAGUUAAGUUUAAAUUAAAAUCUAUUUCUGAAGAGCAUAAAAGAAUAUUAUCAUCAGUACAUUUAGGUAAAAAAGUUAGUCAGGAAGUUAAAGAUAAAUUAUCUUUAGCUACCACUAACUAUAGAAAAAACAAUCCUUUAUCAGCAGAAGCUUUAGCAAAUAUUACAGCUAAAACUGCAGAGCGUGAAGGUAAAUCAGUUAGACUUUUAAAUAUUGAGACUAACGAAAGAUUAGAUUUUUCUACUUUAACUAAAGCUGGUGAAUAUUUAGGUAUUAAAAGACAAGCUGUAAGAAAUGCAAUUAAUAGAGGAAGUAUAGUUAAGAAACUCUAUCGUAUUUCAGAGUUAGAUUAACAUUAUAAUUAUUUUAAAUUUAAUAAUUUUUUUUUAUUAAAUACGGGGGCUUACGAAGUUAGCCGUAAAUGAACCCGUUGUCUAAAUGGAUAGUUCACAAAUAUUAUAUGAACUAUUUAGGGAUAAAUUCUGUUUAUAAGCAGAUUCCGUGUAUGUCAAAAGGGAAACAGCCCUGAACAAGAGUUAAGGUGCUUUGUGGCCUAGGAAACCACUUAUAUGUGCCUGUUUUAAAGAAUCAAACUCCGGGGACACCCUAAAGCUCCUAAUACCAAACUUAACGGCGAAAGUCUUAAGCGGAUCAGCUAAUCACUGGUGUAUGGUAACAAGUUAGGUAGAUUCUAGUAAUAGAAAUGGGCUAUCGCGGAUCUAAAUCAGUAAUAUGUUAUACUGUAAAAGAGCAACGAGUAGACGGUUCUUCAAUAUUAUUUAAAUAUUGUAAGGUGUACUCUAGCGAAAUUUUAGUAAUAAAACGACCUAUCUCUACAGACCCUAUGCAGCUUUACUGUCACUAAUUAUAGAGUAUGUUAGAGAAUUCCCAGAUUAUAAGGUAAUUGACAAUGUGACUAUGUGAAUCCUUUAUUUAUCUUUCAUAUGAAUGAAUUGGUUUAGGAUUAUAAAGAAGUUAAUAUUAAUCUGGCUUUACUGAGUCCUUUUUUUUUAGCUAGCCCCUAAUCCCCGAAGGGGAUACGGGACCAGGAAGCUAAAAAAAAAAACAAAAAGAUUAUAGAAACAAUAUAAUUUAUAAUAGUAAAUCAACCUAAUUCAGUUUACUAUUUUUAAUAGUAAGUGACCUUUGGUAAGGAACUAUCGCUAGGAGACAGUUUAUGUGGGGCACAGACCCUGUAAAGAGUAAACAGGAGUGUCUAAUAAUUUAUAAUUAUUUUGUUUGCUAUUUUGAGUAGUUUAACUAUUUUUAAUCAUAUAUAAUUAUUUAUAUUUGCUGGGGGCAUGCAUGCUUCUUUGGGGUACAGAAGUAUGCAGCCCAUUAUACACUAAAUAUAUUUAAGUUUAAUUUAGGUAGGAUUUUAACUAUGUAGAAAUUAGAGAUAAUUGAAAAUAUUAUGUAAAUUUUAAGGCUGUGCUAUCUUUUUAUAAAUAUGCUAAAGCUUAUAUUAAAGUUUUCUAAUAUUUUAGAGCUAUUUUUUUGUCUUGCUAUUGCUGCAUGUUUCUACGAAGUAAGCAGCGCUAUUUUUUUUUAAUAGCGUGCAUGUUUCACUAUUUUUUACUUAUUUUAUUAUUUUGGCUGUUUCUACGCAGUGUUUCACACUGCUAGAAACAGCCAGAAAUAACUAAAAUAAUAAAAAAAUGAACAGCAGAAAAAUGCUGCUAGAAAAAAGGAAUAGUUAUGUUUUGAAUAUCUAAAAAGCUCAACGGCUAAAUCUUGCCUUACUGUUUGAUUAUCUACAAAUCUUACAGUUGCGUAAGCAGGGCAUAGGAUCACAAGAUGCAAUAAGGAUAGAUCUUGGAUUAUUGGAAAAGCUACGCUAGGGAUGUUUGUCCUUUAAUAUUUUAUUUUAAUAGUAUUUUUGUCUUGCUGCUUUUAGUAGCUGGCCUUCUGUAUUUUUAUAUAAACCCGCCUGCUGCUGCUUGCAUAUUUUUUUCUUCUUACUGCUGCUGCUUGCAUAUUUUUUUCUUCUUACUGCUGCUGCUUGCAUAUUUUUUUCUACGUAGUGUUACACCACUUCGUAUAAAAAAAUCUGCAGCAAGCUAAAGCUAAAGCUAUGAAAAAAAUCAGCAGGAACAAAAAAUACGCUAACUAUCUUGCUGAUCCCUUUUAUUCCCCAGCUGCGUAAGCUAAAGCUAGGGUUGUAAGGGGCGCAUCUUUCUACGAAGUGUGUUUUUUUAAUUAUUUCUGCUGCUGUUUCUAGCAGCGUAUAAACAGCCAUCUAUAACUAAAAGAAUAAAAAAAAAAAUGAGCAAGGAUACACAUGUUUUACAGCAGCAGGGAUGCGCAAACUAGAAGUAUGCAAGACAGAAAAAUAGGCUAAAACUCUUGCUUUAUUAAUUAUGUCUUAGUUAAUAAAGCAAGGAAUAAAAUUAUUAAUACAUAAGUCGGCUUAACUUAUCCUCAUGGAUGCAGGAACUAUGUAGGGUGCGACUGUUCGUCGAUUAAAAAGUUACAUGAGCUGGGUAAAGUAUUUAGCCCAGAAAUUAAUUGGCCUGCGAAGCAGGCUAAUUGUUAAUAAAAGAACCAUUUAGGAAUAAAUGGAAAAAAGAAAUUUUUGAUAACAUAUAGUAAAUACGUCGUGAGACAGUAUGGUUUCUAUCUUCUAGAGGGAAUUAGAAUAAAAUAAGAACAAACUUUUGUACGCAAGGAACAAGAAGAGUUUAACUCAUAAGGUUAAAAUAUGGUUACUAACCUAUGGUUUACCUGUUGUUUAUGUGCCUAAAUAUUAAAUAUAUAUAUGCUUUUGUAUAUAUAUAUCUUCUGUAUUAUUAUACAUAGGGAUGUUUCUUUUACUAAGACAAAUGUAUAGCAUAAGCACGGCAGGAACGCUAAGUUAGUUAAAGAUAAGUGCUGAAAGCAUAUAGGCACGAAACUUAUCUUAAGAUAUUUCUUAAAUAUACGUAAUAUACUAUUACGAAAUUUAUAGGCUUUAUCCGUACGAAUCUUGAGAUUUUAAAGAAUAAAGUACUAAUUUAAUAAUUCACUAUUUAUAAA